GCGUUAUCCGGAAUUAUUGGGCGUAAAGAGCUCGUAGGCGGUUUGUCGCGUCUGUCGUGAAAGUCCGGGGCUUAACCCCGGAUCUGCGGUGGGUACGGGCARACUAGAGUGCAGUAGGGGAGACUGGAAUACCUGGUGUAGCGGUGGAAUGCGCAGAUAUCAGGAGGAACACCGAUGGCGAAGGCAGGUCUCUGGGCUGUACUGACGCUGAGGAGCGAAAGCAUGGGGAGCGAACAGGAUUAGAUACCCUGGUAGUCCAUGCCGUAAACGUUGGGCACUAGGUGUGGGGACCAUUCCACGGUUUCCGCGCCGCACGUAACGCAUUAAGUGCCCCGCCUGGGGAGUACGGCCGCAAGGCUAAACUCAAAGGAAUUGACGGNGGCCCGCACAAGCGGCGG
rnacentral:rRNA from 1 species